AACGAACGCUGGCGGCAGGCCUAACACAUGCAAGUCGAGCGAAGCCUUCGGGCUUAGCGGCGGACGGGUGAGUAACGCGUGGGAACGUGCCCUUUGGUACGGAAUAGCCCCGGGAAACUGGGAGUAAUACCGUAUGUGGUCGAGAGACGAAAGAUUUAUCGCCAAAGGAUCGGCCCGCGUUGGAUUAGGUAGUUGGUGGGGUAAUGGCCUACCAAGCCGACGAUCCAUAGCUGGUUUGAGAGGAUGAUCAGCCACACUGGGACUGAGACACGGCCCAGACUCCUACGGGAGGCAGCAGUGGGGAAUCUUAGACGAUGGGGGAAACCCUGAUUUAGCCAUGCCGCGUGAUCGAUGAAGGCCUUAGGGUUGUAAAGAUCUUUCAGUGGGGAAGAUAAUGACUGUACCCACAGAAGAAGCCCCGGCUAACUCCGUGCCAGCCGCCGCAGUAACAC
rnacentral:rRNA from 1 species